UAGUGAUUUAGAGUUUGAUUCAUGGCUCAGAACGAAUCUCUGGCGGCGUGCCUAACACAUGCAAGUCCGACGUGAAAGGGGAGCAAUCCCCCGGUAGGGUGGCAAACGGGUGAGUAAUACAUGGGUGAUCUACCUUAGGGAUGGGGAUAUCCUUCCGAAAGGAGGGGCAAUACCGAAUAUUGUCCGGAGCCGUGAAGGGUUCCGGGGAAAGGGAGGCCUCUGAUACAAGCUUUCGCCUUAAGAUGAGCCCAUGGCCCAUCAGCUAGUUGGUAGGGUAAAGGCCUACUAAGGCUACGACGGGUCGCUGGUCUGAGAGGACGACCAGCCACACUGGCACUGAGAUACGGGCCAGACUCCUACGGGAGGCAGCAGUGAGGAAUAUUGCGCAAUGGGGGAAACCCUGACGCAGCAACGCCGCGUGUGGGAAGAAGGCCUUCGGGUCGUAAAACACUUUUGCACGGGACGAAAAAGGGAUAUCGAACAAAUAUCCCCGAUGCGGACCG
rnacentral:rRNA from 1 species